UACGAAGGGGGCUAGCGUUGUUCGGAAUUACUGGGCGUAAAGCGCACGUAGGCUGAUAGUUAAGUGAGGGGUGAAAUCCCGAGGCUCAACCUCGGAACUGCCUUUCAUACUGGCUAUCUCGAGUCCGGAAGAGGUUAGUGGAAUUCCUAGUGUAGAGGUGAAAUUCGUAGAUAUUAGGAAGAACACCAGUGGCGAAGGCGGCUAACUGGUCCGGUACUGACGCUGAGGUGCGAAAGCGUGGGGAGCAAACAGG
rnacentral:rRNA from 1 species